AAUGUCUGCCAUUUGUCAUAGAGUCGUGGCCACGGAGUGUCGGCCGGUUUCCAUUUCGCAAAACCAGCCCAUUUCCACCUCACACAAUGAGUGCCAAAGUCCAGGAAUACAAAGACUCCAUAGAGCGUCAGCUCCUUGACAAAUCGAAGCCAUGGACCAAGUAUUUCGACAUGGCGGAGGCGAAAACCGGCGUGAACCGAGUGUACCUUUUCGCUGGUUUGGUGGCGUUCACCGGGUUAUAUUUAGUCUUCGGUUUCGGAGCUGAAUUGAUCUGCAAUGCGAUCGGAUUCGUCUACCCGGCCUACAUGUCCAUGAGGGCCCUGGAGUCACCACAGAAAGAUGACGACACGAAAUGGCUCACAUACUGGGUGGUCUUUGCCUGCUUCUCUCUGGUGGAGUACUUCUCCGACUUCAUAGUCGGCUGGUUCCCUCUGUACUGGCUUAUAAAGUGCAUGUUCAUCAUCUGGUGCUACAUCCCAACCGACUUCAACGGCUCGCUGAUCAUCUACAACCGUGUGAUCCGGCCCUACUACCAGAAGCACCACGGCAGCAUCGACCGCAUGGCCAACUCGGAUCCCGUUAAAGGUCUGGUGAAGGACAUUACGAGAGCCGUAGACAAAACCCUCGACAAGGGCAUCCAGCUUGUCAACAAAAAGCUCGAGAAUCUACACAAAGACUAGACCCCUUUGUAUGUAAGCAAGAGUAGUGCUGCACGUAUCUUCAUAGUUUAUGCCUUUCGCCACGAAGGUUGUCAAUGACGUCGUCAAGAACAAGUAAACCAUUUAAAAAAAUGUAAAAUCAUACAACCAGGGAAAGGUUAAAGUACAAAAGACUUACAAUUAUGUUGCACUAGCUUGUCGCUUCGCACUUGCCUCAAGUUAAGUAAUGUAUAAUGCUGGUACCCCACUUGGCAAUUUGCGUAUUUGCCAAAACUGCUGUGUGGCCAAACUUAUUGCCGAAUUUGCCUAUGAAGUGCUUAUUUGACAAAUAUAGCCAAUAGAAGUUUUGGAAAAUACGAAUAGCCAAGUGGGGUGAUAGUAUAAGAUCAUGUAAUUGACUACUGCGAAAAUUGACUGAUGUUUCCGGUCUAAUGCCGCGCAAGCGUUUGCCUAAGUACCUAUUUGUUAAAAAUGAAUUUUACAAAAAUACAAACUGUAAUCGUUUUAUAAGUCUUUCUAUUUCCAUUCUGAGGUUUCUGUAGUAGGUCUUGCCUAAAGUGAUGUUUAUAACUUGUCUUUCCUGUUCUUAAGAUCUCUAUUUGAACAAUAUUAACUUCGAUUAUUUCUAGAUUAGUUUCGGCAUUGCUCAAGGAAUGUUAGUAACAUUUAAGAAUGUUUUCUGAUUUUAGUUUUUAAACUGUUUAGUCGUUUUUACCCCGUUAAUAUUAAAUAAAUGAAUUGAGAGAUGGACAGAAGCAUUUAUGGUAUUUCUUGUUGAGAACUUUUCCGAAUAUUUUUGUACCGUAUGAGCAAAGUAUAAGACCCUGGUAUUUUUAAAUGUUAUAGCUUUUUUUGUUACCUAUACGUGUAAGGCUUGUGGUGUUAUAGUGUGCCUUUCCAUGUUUUGGCUGACAGAAUAUAAAAAUAUUAAGUAAGUACACAUGAGGAAUUGUUCACAAGGUUUUUUUGACACAAUAAAUGGAUUCUUUGUA